UUCUCAUAAUUAUUCACGGUCUUUUCUAUUUUUGCUCAAUGUUUACUGCCUUUAAAUUGCCACUUUUUUAUAGUUUUGGACAAGCUUUUGCAAGUGAUUUUUCUUGCUUGUCUAACCAAAAGUUCAGUUAAUUUUCACUUUCGGGAGGAUUAGAUUACUCUGAGAAAGUGAUCGAAAAUGUAACUAAACUUUGGUUGUGUGGCUGAGUGUAUGCACUUUUCAUCGUCUGACUAUUGAUGCGUGGUGAUUUAGAUGGUGGAUUGAAUUGGAGGGCGAAAUUUGAGGACUAGUUGCUAUUUCUGAGAAUGAAUUCUGAUGUCUUUUGCUUUCGAACCAUUUAUGUAUGUUCUUGCUGAUUGAUAGUUUCUUUCAAAUUUAAACUCCUUAUAUCAAUUUCAUAUUUUCGGUAUUUGAAAUGCCAUUAGGGAAGUCUGGAAUAAUGCGUGACAUUUUUACAUACUGCAUAUAUCAUUAAUUUGCAUUUUUGUGCACGUAUGUAAGUUUUUUAUGCAUAUGGAGCUAGGAAAAUGCUACUAGUAUUGCAAGGAAGCCUAGUAAUGCAAAUAACAGACUUGCAGAAUUAGAAAAUUCCACUUCUAAGUAGGGGACUGUUAUUGAAGUUUUUUACACAGCUUGCUAAAAAAAAGAAGAACAAUAGGGCAUUCGAGAGGCCCCAACUCUCUAACAACCUUCUACAAAAUUCCACACCUCUCUCACUCUCUUUCUCUUAUUUAUACCCCAUCCUACUUAGCAUAGCUGCCUCUGGCAGCAGAUGCUGGUUUGUUACAACAAACCAGCUAUUUCCCCUACUAUCCUCCACCCAUUUUACCUCCUUGCCCCUGUCCCUUGGGCUGCCUUUGGUAGGUCCAAUGGACCGGGGGCCUAUCAGGGACCCACCCAUCUAAAAGAAUAAGCUAUUAGGUGGGGAAAAGUUUCUUAUUUUUUUUCUUAGCAUGUUCUCUCGUCUAUUAUCCUACUUUCAUUCAUGGUAGGCUACACAUGUACAAGUUUUUUAUAUUCUUGUAGGUGCUUAAGUUUUAAACUAAGGAUCUAGGUUUUGAUGUGAUGUUGAGUUGAGAGAGGAGUUGGUUAUAAUUUAUUUCUGAACAGAAAUGCAAUGCACUAAUUGAAUGUGUAGUAGUAUCCUAGAUCAUUCACAAUGU